GACGAACCGAGCGAACGUUAUUCGGAAUCACUGGGCUUAAAGGGCGCGUAGGCGGCCAUGUAAGUGAGAUGUGAAAUCCCUCGGCUCAACCGAGGAAGUGCAUUUCAUACUGCAUGGCUUGAGGGAGACAGGGGUAAGCGGAACUGAUGGUGGAGCGGUGAAAUGCGUUGAUAUCAUCAGGAACACCGGUGGCGAAAGCGGCUUACUGGGUCUCUUCUGACGCUGAGGUACGAAAGCUAGGGGAGCGAACGGG
rnacentral:rRNA from 1 species